CUGUUUCCAUCUGUUGAGUUGAGCUGUUUGUUAGAAGCUUGGACUCAGGUUUGUGAUUCAGGGUCUGGUCUUCAUCGCUGUCCUCGGUUUCCUCACAGUCUUCAUUCUGCUCACCAGUUUUUGUUUGUAAAUGUCUAUGUGGAUGGAAGCUGCAGGAUGGUUCUGAUCCUCCACAGUCCACUUUAUUUGCUUCCUCUUUGUUCUCCUCAGUUUGUCUUUGAUUAAGCUGUGAGGACUCAACUUUCUCCUCAUCAUCAUCUUCACUCUUAACAGGGACAGGAGUGGAUGGGAACUUGGUGAUAUUCACUUCCUGGCUGGUCCACAGUUCCUCCUGUUCCUCUUUAAUGUGUGGAGGCUCUGGUUCUGGUUCCUCCUGGUCCACUAUGUGAUUCCACUCCUGCUGCUCAGGAGGAACCUCUUCUUUAACCACCGACAGCUGCUUGACAUCUUUUUUGUGUUUCAAGACUCUCGGAUUCCAAACACAGUCC